CACUUUAUUUCUUCUACUCGGAUCGUUCGGCACGUACCUGCCGAUAAAGAAUGGAGUU
rfam:Corynebacterium diphtheriae gravis NCTC13129, complete genome; segment 2/8